CGGAGCGUAGCGCAGUCUGGUAGCGCAUCUGGUUUGGGACCAGAGGGUCGUAGGUUCGAAUCCUAUCGCUCCGA
rfam:Comamonas sp. SCN 67-35 ABT03_C0009, whole genome shotgun sequence.